rnacentral:tRNA from 1 species
GCUCUUGUAACUCAGUUGGUUAGAGCACCCGUUUAGUAAGCGGGAGGUCUUGAGUUAUAAACUCUUAACAAGAGCA